UACGAGUGCUUCAAGCGUUAUCCGGAAUCAUUGGGCGUAAAGGGCUCGUAGGUGGCCAACUAAGUCAGACGUGAAAUCCCUCAGCUUAACUGGGGAACUGCGUCUGAUACUGGAUGGCUUGAGUUUGGGAGAGGGAUGCGGAAUUCCAGGUGUAGCGGUGAAAUGCGUAGAUAUCUGGAGGAACACCGGUGGCGAAGGCGGCAUCCUGGACCAACACUGACACUGAGGAGCGAAAGCCAGGGGAGCAAACGGG
rnacentral:rRNA from 1 species